rnacentral:rRNA from 1 species
CCUACGGGAGGCAGCAGUGGGGAAUAUUGCGCAAUGGGCGAAACCCUGAUGCAGCGACGCCGCGUGAGUGAAGAAGUAUUUCGGUAUGUAAAGCUCUAUCAGCAGGGAAGAAAAUGACGGUACCUGAUUAAGAAGCCCCGGCUAACUACGUGCCAGCAGCCGCGGUAAUACGUAGGGGGCAAGCGUUAUCCGGAUUUACUGGGUGUAAAGGGAGCGUAGACGGCAGCACAAGUCUGGAGUGAAAUGCCGGGGGUUAACCCCGGAACUGCUUUGGAAACUGUGCAGCUUGAGUGCAGGAGAGGUAAGUGGAAUUCCUAGUGUAGCGGUGAAAUGCGUAGAUAUUAGGAGGAACACCAGUGGCGAAGGCGGCUUACUGGACUGUAACUGACGUUGAGGCUCGAAAGCGUGGGGAGCAAACAGGAUUAGAUACCCUAGUAGUC